rnacentral:misc_RNA from 1 species
AAGUCGUAACAAGGUCUCCGUAGGUGAACCUGCGGAGGGAUCAUUACACAAUAUGAAAGCGGGCUGGAAUCCUUUGGGGUUACAGCCUUGCUGAAUUAUUCACCCGUGUCUUUUGCGUACUUCUUUUUUCCUUGGUGGGUUCGCCCACCAUAGGACAAACCAUUAAACCUUUUGUAAUUGCAAUCAGCGUCAGUAAAAAAAUUAAUAAUUACAACUUUUAACAACGGAUCUCUUGGUUCUG